GUUGUACAAUUUAUUAAAUCUAAUGUGUAGAGAUUGACUUGGUAGGUGAUAAAGAUAAAAAGAUUGAUUUUUAUGAUGUGUUAGUGGUUCAAGAGUACCCAGAUGUAUAUCCUGAUGAACUUCUAGGGUUAUCUUCGGAUCGUGAAAUAGAAUUCUAUAUUGAUCUACAACUAGACACUCAACCUAUCUCUAUAGCUCCUUAUAGACUAGUAAAAGUUGAAAUAUAAGAGUUAAAGAAACAACUAACAGAACUCUGAGAGAAAUGAUUCAUUCGCCC
rnacentral:lncRNA from 1 species